CGGUGAAUACGUUCCCGGGCCUUGUACACACCGCCCGUCAAGCCAUGGAAGUCUGGGGUACCUGAAGUCGGUGACCGUAAAAGGAGCUGCCUAGGGUAAAACAGGUAACUAGGGCU
rnacentral:rRNA from 1 species